GAUGAACGCUAGCGGCAGGCUUAACACAUGCAAGUCGAGGGGUAACGGGGAAGCUUGCUUCCGCCGACGACCGGCGCACGGGUGCGUAACGCGUAUACAAUCUACCUUGUACUGGGGUAUAGCCUUUAGAAAUGAAGAUUAAUCCCCCAUAGUCUCUUAGAGUGGCAUCACUUCUAGAGUAAAGGUUACGGUAUAAGAUGAGUAUGCGUUCUAUUAGUUUGUUGGUGUGGUAACGGCACACCAAGACUACGAUAGAUAGGGGCCCUGAGAGGGGGAUCCCCCACACUGGUACUGAGACACGGACCAGACUCCUACGGGAGGCAGCAGUGAGGAAUAUUGGACAAUGGAGGCAACUCUGAUCCAGCCAUGCCGCGUGCAGGAAGACUGCCCUAUGGGUUGUAAACUACUUUUAUACAGGAAGAAACACCUCUACGUGUAGAGGCUUGACGGUACUGUAAGAAUAAGGAUCGGCUAACUCCGUGCCAGCAGCCGCGGUAAUACGGAGGAUCCAAGCGUUAUCCGGAAUCAUUGGGUUUAAAGGGUCCGUAGGUGGAUAAUUAAGUCAGAGGUGAAAUCUUGCAGCUCAACUGUAAAAUUGCCUUUGAAACUGGUUAUCUUGAGUUAUUAUGAAGUAGUUAGAAUAUGUAGUGUAGCGGUGAAAUGCAUAGAUAUUACAUAGAAUACCAAUUGCGAAGGCAGAUUACUAAUAAUCAACUGACACUGAUGGACGAAAGCGUGGGUAGCGAACAGGAUUAGAUACCCUGGUAGUCCACGCCGUAAACGAUGGUUACUAGCUGUUUGGACUUCGGUCUGAGUGGCUAAGCGAAAGUGAUAAGUAACCCACCUGGGGAGUACGUUCGCAAGAAUGAAACUCAAAGGAAUUGACGGGGGCCCGCACAAGCGGUGGAGCAUGUGGUUUAAUUCGAUGAUACGCGAGGAACCUUACCAGGGCUUAAAUGUAAGUUGCAUUAGUUAGAGAUAGCUAUUUCUUCGGACCACUUACAAGGUGCUGCAUGGUUGUCGUCAGCUCGUGCCGUGAGGUGUCAGGUUAAGUCCUAUAACGAGCGCAACCCCUGUUGUUAGUUGCCAGCGAGUCAUGUCGGGAACUCUAACAAGACUGCCAGUGCAAACUGUGAGGAAGGUGGGGAUGACGUCAAAUCAUCACGGCCCUUACGUCCUGGGCUACACACGUGCUACAAUGGUAGGUACAGAGAGCAGCCACUGCGCGAGCAGGAGCGAAUCUAUAAAACCUAUCACAGUUCGGAUCGGAGUCUGCAACUCGACUCCGUGAAGCUGGAAUCGCUAGUAAUCGGAUAUCAGCCAUGAUCCGGUGAAUACGUUCCCGGGCCUUGUACACACCGCCCGUCAAGCCAUGGAAGUUGGGAGUGCCUGAAGUCCGUCACCGCAAGGAGCGGCCUAGGGUAAAGUCGAUAACUAGGGCUAAGUCGUAACAAGGUAGCCGUACCGGAAGGUGCGGCUGGAACACCUCCUUUCU
rnacentral:rRNA from 1 species